rnacentral:rRNA from 1 species
UUACCUGGUUUGAUCCUGCCAGUAGUCAUAUGCUUGUCUCAAAGAUUAAGCCAUGCAUGUCUAAGUACAGGCCGAUUGUAAGGCGAAACCGCGAAUGGCUCAUUAAAUCAGUUAUGGUUCAUUGGAUCUUACCUUAUCCUACUUGGAUAACUGUGGCAAUUCUAGAGCUAAUACAUGCAAGCAAGCCCCGACCGGCGACGGGAAGGGCGCUUUUAUUAGAUCAAAACCAAUCGGGCCUCUCGGGGCCCGUCAACACAGUGGUGACUCUGGAUAACUUUGUGCUGAGCGCACGGCCUGCGUGCCGGCGCCGCAUCCUUCAAGUGUCUGCCUUAUCAGCUUUCGAUGGUAGGCCAUGCGCCUACCAUGGCUAUAACGGGUAACGGGGAAUCAGGGUUCGAUUCCGGAGAGGGAGCCUGAGAGACGGCUACCACAUCUAAGGAAGGCAGCAGGCACGCAAUUUACCCACUCCCGGCACGGGGAGGUAGUGACGAAAAAUAACGAUGCGAGACUCAUCCGAGGCCUCGCAAUCGGAAUGAGUACACUUUAAAUCCUUGCCACGAGGAUCUAUUGGAGGGCAAGUCUGGUGCCAGCAGCCGCGGUAAUUCCAGCUCCAAUAGCGUAUAUUAAAGUUGUUGCGGUUAAAAAGCUCGUAGUUGGAUUCGAGUCGCGGAGCGACGGUACACCGCCCGGUGCUUACCGUUCGUGUUUCCGGACGUAUGUGUCGGCGUGGCACGGGGUGCUCUUCACCGAGUGUCCCGCGGCCGCCGACGAGUUUACUUUGAAAAAAUUAGAGUGCUCAGAGCAGGCCGUACACACUUACUGAGUUACGUGCCCGAAUAGUCUUGCAUGGAAUAAUGGAACAGGACCUCGGUUCUGCUUUCCGUUGGUUCUCGGAGCCCGAGGUAAUGACUGAUGGGGACAGUCGGGGGCAUUCGUAUUGCGACGUUAGAGGUGAAAUUCUUGGAUCGUCGCAAGACGGACUACUGCGAAGGCAUUUGCCAAGUAUGUUUUCAUUAAUCAAGAACGAAAGUUAGAGGUUCGAAGGCGAUCAGAUACCGCCCUAGUUCUAACCAUAAACGAUGCCAACCAGCGAUCCGCCGGCGUUAUUCCCAUGACUCGGCGGGCAGCUUCCGGGAAACCAAAGUUUUUGGGUUCCGGGGGAAGUAUGGUUGCAAAGCUGAAACUUAAAGGAAUUGACGGAAGGGCACCACCAGGAGUGGAGCCUGCGGCUUAAUUUGACUCAACACGGGAAACCUCACCAGGCCCGGACACCGAAAGGAUUGACAGAUUGAGAGCUCUUUCUCGAUUCGGUGGGUGGUGGUGCAUGGCCGUCUUAGUUGGUGGAGCGAUUUGUCUGGUUAAUUCCAUAGAA